rnacentral:rRNA from 1 species
AUGAGGGAGUUCCUGAUAGAGAAGGUCUUGCCAGCAAUACAAGCUGUUUGGCCUGAAGGCGAUGCUGGACAAACUAUCUACAUUCAGCAGGAUAAUGCUAAGCCCCAUAUCUUGCCAGAUGAUCAGGAAUUUCUAGAAGUUGUCGCAAAAACUGGACUUGACAUCAGAAUAAUACAACAGCCUCCCAACAGUCCUGAUUUGAAUGUGCUUGACCUUGGGUUUUUCAACUCGCUCCAAUCCCUGACAGAUUGUCUGAGUCCUAAAACACUACAAGACCUUAUUAAGGGUGUUUUGGAGGAAUUUGAAGGCUAUGAUGUUUACAAGCUCAACAGAAUUUUCCUAACUCUGCAGACGUGCAUGAUUGAGAUCCUAAACCAUGCAGGGGGCAAUGGGUAUAAAAUACCCCAUGUAAACAAGGAAAGGCUUGAGGGGAUUGGGCAACUACCUCCAAGAUUAUCAUGCCCUCUAGAGGUUUACGCAAAUGCAUUAUACAACUUAGAGCUAAUGGAGAGGGUUCAGUAA